rnacentral:rRNA from 1 species
UACGUAGGGCGCAAGCGUUGUCCGGAAUUAUUGGGCGUAAAGAGCUCGUAGGCGGUUUGUCGCGUCUGCCGUGAAAGCCCGGGGCUUAACUCCGGGUCUGCGGUGGAUACGGGCAGACUAGAGGCAGGUAGGGGAGAACGGAAUUCCCGGUGUAGCGGUGAAAUGCGCAGAUAUCGGGAGGAACACCGGCGGCGAAGGCGGUUCUCUGGGCCUGUACUGACGCUGAGGAGCGAAAGCGUGGGGAGCGAACAGG